rnacentral:misc_RNA from 1 species
UUUACAUGGUGUGACUCUUCGUAGCUCAAAUACAAGACACCAUUAGUUUUUAGCUUUUUACAUAUAGGUUUUUCUUUUUAUUUUUUUAUUAUAAUUUCUCCCAAAAUUGUGGCAUUUGGAGGACUUGGGUCGCAGGGUUGGUAUAGAAAAAUGUGCAUAAAUGAAUAUGUUAGUCAAAUCGUAUCUUGAGAUUGUUCAGGCGAAAUGACGGGCUAUCUUUCCUCAUUAGUUAGCGGUGACUACUGCCUAGGCAUCGACUGAUUAUCUGGAAGUAUAGAGCUUCUACUAACAGAACGCAGGCAGGGGUUUAAAUGUUUUUGCUUGUCAAAUUUUUUUUUUAUUCGUUUUGUUUUUCUUGAACCCCAAAAACAUGUCAUUACAUCAAGCAAGAGAUAGCGGUACAUGUACAUUGUUGAAGCAGUUGCAGCUCAGCUGAAUUUUUCUUUGUACCCUUGAAAAUAAUAAUAAAAAUUAAAAAAAAAGGGAUAAUGGAACUCUCAUAUUGAGUUGAAGAUAGUAAUUCCACUUGAAAGUGAAGCUGGGACGCAUGAUGGAGCUGUGGAUUGUAACAGUUGUCAACAUGUAGCAAGUUGAGGGUGUCCAUUGCAUUACAAUAAUGCUGCAUUGUUGUCCAGUGGUCGGUCGGCCGGCCAGCCGGCCAGUAGGGCGGGAUGUUGAAAUGGAAGUGGCUUCAAUUGACUAUUUAUUCAUCCAUUGUAAUUUUUUCAUAUGUAUGCUUUAGUGACCCCUUCAACUCUUCUUCCACACCCUCCCCUUUUUUCUGGAAAAAUUUUAAAUGGUACCAGCACUAGUGCACUUUCUAAUUAAAAUUAAUAUAUGAA